rnacentral:sRNA from 17 species
CGGUGCAGGUCGGCAGGCGGUACCGUCGCGUGGACAUGACGACUGCGUAAUGGAAGCCCGGUGAAAAUCCGGCACGGUCGCGCCACUGUGUACCCGUAACAACUGCGGGAAGUCAGACCCAGCGCCGUCGUCUCAGGCACCACG